CCUACGGGCGGCAGCAGUGAGGAAUAUUUGUCAAUGGGCGGAAGCCUGAACCAGCCAAGUAGCGUGCAGGAUGACGGCCCUACGGGUUUUAAACUGCUUUUAUACGGGAAUAACGCGCCUUACGUUUAGGGCUUUGCAUGUACCGUAUGAAUAAGGACCGGCUAAUUCCGUGACAGCAGCCGCGGUAAUACGGAAGGUCCGGGCGUUAUCCGGAUUUAGUGGGUAUAAAGGGAGCGUAGGCCGCAUGUCAAGCGUGCUGUGAAAUGUCCGGUCUCAACCCUGUCCUUACAGGGCGAACUGGCGUGCUUGAGACCGCGGAAAGCAAGCGGAAUUCGUAGUGUAGCGGUGAAAUGCGUAGAUAUGACGAAGAACACCGAUAGCGAAGGCAGCUUGCUGCAGCGGAACUGACGCUGAUGCUCGAAAGCGCAGGUAUCGAACAGGAUUAGAUACCCUGGUAGUC
rnacentral:rRNA from 1 species